UAGGAAAAUGAGGAGCCAUUUGGAUUAGAUUUGAAUAAUUAAUGGGUAAUGUAAAUGACCCAUUAAUUUGAGUAUGACAAACUGGGAGGGUUUUUAGGAGCACGUCACAUCCACUUUCUUCUCCACUUGAACUUCACGUGAAGUACUUUAGUUCAAGGUGAAAUGAGGUUUGCUUUUCCUUUCAUUAAAAAAUGGGACUCAAAGUCUAUCUCACAUGAGGUGUAUAGGUCAAAACUUAUUUAGAGAACCUUUCUUUUUAUUUUCAACACCAUUAAAAAAAAAAAUAGGACUUUGAACCCACUUUGAUUUUUCAAACAUUCUGACAACAAGCUUUUACUCCUCCCUUUUUUUUUAUGUAACUUUAAAGCUUUUAAGUUCAACCACUCCUCUUCCAUGUGAGCAAAACUUCACGUGAGGUGCAGGCCUUCCAUCUUAGCUUUAUAAAUGUAUCUGGAACACUUUUCUUCCUUUAGAGUUUUUAUAUACUUUUCCUUCCUUGUGCAGAGAACAUACAUGAAAUUGGAAUAAAAGCAGUCGCCCAUCUUGCUGUUUUUCUUCACAUUUCUCAAGUAGAAGACCUCUUCGAUUUUUCCAAAAGCAGAGAGUGUUAUAGUAUCGUCAUCUCGAGUUUUGAUUGGAACUUCACGGGGUGGUUUAGACCCCGAAGAAAUUCAUGGGAUUAAACUGCAGCGGCACAGAGCGGAGCUCUUGGAUUUGAUCGGAACUUCACGGGGUGGUUUAGACCCCGAAGAAAUUCAUGGGAUUAAACUGCAGCGGCGGGGA